GUAGGGAAUAUUGGUCAAUGGGGGAGACCCUGAACCAGCCAUGCCGCGUGCAGGAAGACGGCCUUCUGGGUUGUAAACUGCUUUUAUACGGGAAUAAAUAGCCCCUGCGGGGGAAGUUGCAUGUACCGUAUGAAUAAGCACCGGCUAACUCCGUGCCAGCAGCCGCGGUAAUACGGAGGGUGCAAGCGUUGUCCGGAUUUAUUGGGUUUAAAGGGUGCGUAGGCGGCUUGACAAGUCAGUGGUGAAAUCCUCCCGCUCAACGGGAGAACUGCCAUUGAAACUGUAAGGCUUGAGGACAGUCGAGGUAGGCGGAAUUUAUGGUGUAGCGGUGAAAUGCAUAGAUACCAUAAAGAACACCGAUAGCGAAGGCAGCUUACUAGACUGUAACUGACGCUGAGGCACGAAAGCGUGGGGAGCGAACAGG
rnacentral:rRNA from 1 species